rnacentral:rRNA from 1 species
UACGGAGGGUGCGAGCGUUGUCCGGAAUCAUUGGGCGUAAAGGGCGCGUAGGUGGCUCGCCAAGCGGGCGGUGAAAGCCUGGGGCUCAACCCCCGGGUCGGCCGUGCGAACUGGCGAGCUGGAGCACUGUAGAGGCAGGCGGAAUUCCGGGUGUAGCGGUGGAAUGCGUAGAGAUCCGGAAGAACACCGGUGGCGAAGGCGGCCUGCUGGGCAGUGGCUGACACUGAGACG